GGGGGUGAUCGGUUUCGACGACGGUCGUCAUUCCAGGGGAAGCGGGUCGAGGAUGUCGGGUUAUCUCGUAAACGAUCCCGGCAAACCAAUAGGUGCCGAUUCCAAGCGCACCGACUUCGCCCUCGCCGCCUGAGCGAGCCUCGAAGUCCGUCAGCCUGAGUUCGCUGCCGACUCAGUUCCUGGCGUCAGUUAGGUAGCUUGCUGCGCCGUCAUGUCGGGGGACGUGCGCGGGACUCUUACUCGACUGGGCCUGUCAGGGGACGUGUGCGCGCGAGCCCUGAGGCCGAGAAAAUCCAUAGCGCACUGCACCCGGAGAAGUCCUGGUUCGGUGCCGGCGGACGCGGGUUCGAUUCCCGCCACCUCCACCA
rnacentral:tmRNA from 1 species